rnacentral:rRNA from 1 species
UACGUAGGGGGCAAGCGUUGUCCGGAAUCAUUGGGCGUAAAGAGCGUGUAGGCGGCUCGGUAAGUCCGCUGUGAAAGUCCAGGGCUCAACCCUGGAAUGCCGGUGGAACUGUCGAGCUAGAGUCCGGAAGAGGCGAGUGGAAUUCCUGGUGUAGCGGUGAAAUGCGCAGAUAUCAGGAGGAACACCAAUGGCGAAGGCAGCUCGCUGGGACGGUACUGACGCUGAGACGCGAAAGCGUGGGGAGCAAACAGG